UUUUAAAGCUCAUGUAGUUUAUUUUUGUAACCUGUUAUCAGAGUAUUCAUUAUCCACUAAAGUUCAUAUCAACAUAACUUUUGAUAAAACUAAUACCAACAGACGGAACUUGCAAGAAAGAAACAUUAAACGUGUUUUUAUCUACGAAUAGAUGUAAUAAAAACAUAACGUGGACAUAUUUCAAGAGCUGAUGUGUCACAUACACAUAUGCAUUAUUUUGUCUGUAAGGAGUGGAAGGAUAAUUGGGUGGAGGUGGUGCUAGGCCUUUUGCAAUAUUAAAUUGUUAAUAAUCACUCUCCAGAAAGAUUUAUUUUGGAAGAAAUGGAAUCUUCUGCAACUUCCUCUAACAUGCCUGAAUGUUACUUGCAAGAGAAGACAAUUUUCUCUAAUUGUCGCAGAUAAGAGAUCUUGCACCAUUGACAGUGCUGUACAAAUGGCAAUAACAACGACUAUAUAAGAAUUUCAACAAUUUUAUUGAAAAUUGCAAUGAUUGUUUCCCUCAAUCAAGAUGGAACGAUGGCGUAGGCCAGGACGCCAGGCAGAUUUUUGUAAUAUCGAAUUGGUGGUCUUCGGGGCAUACUGGGAUGUCUGGAGUUCCUUAUUA